GCUCGAAUACAUUAGCAUGGAAUAAUAGAAUAGGACGGCAUGGUUCUAUUUUGUUGGUUUCUAGGAUCACCGUAAUGAUUAAUAGGGAUAGUUGGGGGCAUUAGUAUUCAAUUGUCAGAGGUGAAAUUCUUGGAUUUAUUGAAGACUAACUACUGCGAAAGCAUUUGCCAAGGAUGUUUUCAUUAAUCAAGAACGAAAGUUAGGGGGAUCGAAGACGAUCAGAUACCGUCGUAGUCUUAACCAUAAACUAUGCCAAUUAGGGAUCGGAUGAUGUUAAUUUUUUAAUGACUCAUUCGGUCGCCUUACG
rnacentral:rRNA from 1 species